GACGAACGCUGGCGGCGUGCUUAACACAUGCAAGUCGAACGGAAAGGCCCUGCUUUUGUGGGGUGCUCGAGUGGCGAACGGGUGAGUAACACGUGAGUAACCUUCCCUUGACUUUGGGAUAACUUCAGGAAACUGGGGCUAAUACCGGAUAGGAGCUCCUGCUGCAUGGUGGGGGUUGGAAAGUUUCGGCGGUUGGGGAUGGACUCGCGGCUUAUCAUCUUGUUGGUGGGGUAGUGGCUUACCAAGGCUUUGACGGGUAGCCGGCCUGAGAGGGUGACCGGCCACAUUGGGACUGAGAUACGGCCCAGACUCAUACGGGAGGCAGCAGGGGGGAAUAUUGCACAAUGGGCGGAAGCCUGAUGCAGCAACGCAGCGUGCGGGAUGACGGCCUUCGGGUUGUAAACCGCUUUCGCCUGGGACGAAGCGGGAGUGACGGUAAUGGGUAAAGAAGAACCGGCUAACUACGUG
rnacentral:rRNA from 1 species